rnacentral:snRNA from 1 species
GUGCUCACUUCAGCAGCAUAUAUACUAAAAAUUGGAAUGAUACAGAGAAGAUUAGCAUAGCCUCUGUGCAAGGAUAACACGUGAAGCUUUCCAUAUUAAA